rnacentral:rRNA from 1 species
AUUGAACGCUGGCGGCAUGCUUUACACAUGCAAGUCGAACGGGGUUAGGGAGCUUGCUCUCUAAUCUAGUGGCGAACGGGUGAGUAAUACAUCGGAACGUACCGUCUAGUGGGGGACAACGAGUCGAAAGAUUCGCUAAUACCGCAUAUUCUCUUCGGAGGAAAGCAGGGGAUCUUCGGACCUUGUGCUAGAUGAGCGGCCGAUGGCUGAUUAGCUAGUUGGUGAGGUAAGGGCUCACCAAGGCGACGAUCAGUAGCGGGUCUUAGAGGACGAUCCGCCAGACGGGGACUGAGACACGGCCGAGACUCCUAAGGGAGGCAGCAGUGGGGAAUCUUGGACAAUGGGGGCAAGCCUGAUCCAGCAAUGCCGCGUGCGUGAAGAAGGCCUUCGGGUUGUAAAGCGCUUUUGUCAGGGAGCAAAUCUUUGAGACUAAUACCCUCCGAGGAUGAGAGUGCCUGAAGAAUAAGGACCGGCUAACUACGUGCCAGCCGCCGCAGUAACAC